rnacentral:rRNA from 1 species
UACGGAGGAUGCAAGCGUUAUCCGGAUUUAUUGGGUUUAAAGGGUGCGCAGGUUGUUUGAUAAGUCAGUGGUGAAAGUCUGUCGCUUAACGGUAGGAUUGCCAUUGAUACUGUUGGACUUGAAUAUGGAUGAGGUAGGCGGAAUGUGUAGUGUAGCGGUGAAAUGCAUAGAUAUUACAAGGAACUCCGAUUGCGAAGGCAGCUUACUAAAUUACAACUGACGCUUAGGCACGAAGGCGUGGGUAUCAAACAGGAUUAGAUACCCCCGUA